rnacentral:rRNA from 1 species
AUUGAACGCUGGCGGCAGGCUUAACACAUGCAAGUCGAGCGGGGUGAUGGUGCUUGCACUAUCACUUAGCGGCGGACGGGUGAGUAAUGCUUAGGAAUCUGCCUAUUAGUGGGGGACAACAUCUCGAAAGGGAUGCUAAAACCGCAUACGUCCUACGGGAGAAAGCAGGGGAUCACUUGUGACCUUGCGCUAAUAGAUGAGCCUAAGUCGGAUUAGCUAGUUGGUGGGGUAAAGGCCUACCAAGGCGACGAUCUGUAGCGGGUCUGAGAGGAUGAUCCGCCACAAUGGGACUGAGGCACGGUCCAGAGUCCUACGGGAGGCAGCAGUGGGGAAUAUUGGACAAUGGGGGGAACCCUGCUCUAGCCAUGCCGCGUGUGUGAAGAAGGCCUUAUGGUUGUAAAGCACUUUAAGCGAGGAGGAGGCUCUUUUGGUUAAUACCCAAGAUGAGUGGACGUUACUCGCAGAAUAAGCACCGGCUAACUCUGUGCCAGCCGCCGCCGUAA